ACAUGCCUACAACAUAUUGUAAAUGCAUCAAAUCCCUUUAGAACUUUGCAGUUAAGUGCACUCAGGCUAGAGUAGUAUUGGGAUGGGUGACCGCCUGGAAGUCCUAGUGUUUUACAUGCC
rnacentral:rRNA from 1 species